UACGUAGGUGGCAAGCGUUGUCCGGAUUUAUUGGGCGUACAGGGCGCGCAGGCGGUUCGUUUAGUCCGAGGUGAAAUCUCCUGGCUCAACUGGGAGAGGUCUUCGGAUACUGGCGGGCUUGAGGAGAGCAGAGGUGAGCGGAAUUCUGGGUGUAGUGGUGAAAUGCGUAGAUAUCCAGAGGAACACCAGUGGCGAAGGCGGCUCACUGGGCUCCACCUGACGCUGAGGCGCGAAAGCGUGGGGAGCGAACCGG
rnacentral:rRNA from 1 species